AGGAUAAACGCUGGCGGCGUGCCUAACACAUGCAAGUCGAACGUUCUUUCUUACUUCGGUGAGAGAGGGAGUGGCGGACGGGUGAGUAACACAUGGGUGACCUGGCCUGAAGUGAGGGAUACCGGCGAGAAAUCGCCGACAAGCCCGCAUAGGUUCUUUUCUGUAGAGGGGAGAGAGCAAAGGCCCUUUUCGGAGGGUUGCUUUAGGAUGGGCCUGUGGCCGAUUAGCUAGUUGGUGGGGUAAGAGCCUACCAAGGCGACGAUCGGUAGCUGGUCUGAGAGGACGAUCAGCCACACUGGGAUUGAGAACGGCCCAGACUCCUACGGGGGGCAGCAGUGAGGAAUUUUCCGCAAUGGACGAAAGUCUGACGGAGCAACGCCGCGUGCAGGAGGACGCUUUUCGGAGUGUAAACUGCUUUUCCCAGGGAAGAGCAAGGACGGUACCUGGGGAAGAAGCCCCGGCUAACUACGUGCCAGCAGCCGCGGUAAUACGUAGGGGGCGAGCGUUGUCCGGAGUUACUGGGCGUAAGGGGCAUGCAGGCGGUCGUACGCGUUUUGUGUGACAGCGGGUGGCUUAACUACCCGAGUAUGCGAAAGACGGUAUGACUUGAGGGCUCGAGAGGGACACGGAAUUCCGGGUGGAGUGGUGAAAUGCGUAGAGAUCCGGAGGAACACCGAAGGCGAAGGCAGUGUCCUGGCGAGUGACUGACGCUGAGGUGCGAAAGCUAGGGGAGCGAACGGGAUUAGAUACUCCGGUAGUCCUAGCCGUAAACGAUGACCACCAGGUGUGGGAGGUAUCGACCCCUUCCGUGCCGGAGUAAACACACUAAGUGGUCCGCCUGGGGAGUACGGUCGCAAGAUUAAA
rnacentral:rRNA from 1 species